rnacentral:tRNA from 1 species
CCUGGUAGCUCAGACGGUAAAAGCAUCUGCCUACAAUGCAGGAGACCCAGGUUCGAUCCCUGGGUCAGGA